rnacentral:rRNA from 1 species
GUGGGGAAUUUUGGACAAUGGGCGAAAGCCUGAUCCAGCCAUGCCGCGUGCAGGAUGAAGGCCUUCGGGUUGUAAACUGCUUUUGUACGGAACGAAAAGACUCUGGUUAAUACCUGGGGUCCAUGACGGUACCGUAAGAAUAAGCACCGGCUAACUACGUGCCAGCAGCCGCGGUAAUACGUAGGGUGCAAGCGUUAAUCGGAAUUACUGGGCGUAAAGCGUGCGCAGGCGGUUAUAUAAGACAGAUGUGAAAUCCCCGGGCUCAACCUGGGAACUGCAUCUAUGACUGCAUUGCUGGAGUGCGGCAGAGGGGGAUGGAAUUCCGCGUGUAGCAGUGACAUGCGUAGAUAUGCGGAGGAACACCGAUGGCGAAGGCAAUCCCCUGGGCCUGCACUGACGCUCAUGCACGAAAGCGUGGGGAGCAAACAGGAUUAGAAACCCCGGUAGUCC